rnacentral:rRNA from 1 species
UACGUAGGGUGCGAGCGUUAAUCGGAAUUACUGGGCGUAAAGCGUGCGCAGGCGGUUCGUUAUGUCCGAUGUGAAAGCCCCGAGCUCAACUUGGGAAUGGCAUUGGAAACUGGCGGGCUGGAGUGUGGCAGAGGGGGGUGGAAUUCCACGUGUAGCAGUGAAAUGCGUAGAGAUGUGGAGGAACACCGAUGGCGAAGGCAGCCCCCUGGACCAACACUGACGCUCAGGCACGAAAGCGUGGGGAGCAAACAGG